GCAUAUCUGAAUUCACCAGACAAGCAAAAAUGCAGAGAUUUUCUUCGAGAAGUUUACGUCUCAUAAAUCUCUCGCUUUCCUCCAAGCCAAACGGCCCCACCAACCUCUUUCACUUGAGCCUUUACUCUCAAAUUCACAGACCCGCCAACCCCAACGACGACAGCUACAAAAACAACAAUCGUUUUUUGAAUGAUCGAACAAACGAGUUUGGUCCCGUCAAUGUCGCGACCAACGAGCAAGCGAAACGGACAGAGAGUCAUAACCCGGAUGAGUUUGCGGCGGAGGUGGAGAGAAUAUACAGGAUUUUGCGGAAAUUCCACUCUCGAGGCCCUAAACUGGAGCUGGCUCUGCAAGAAUCAGGCGUCGUUCUGCGUUCUGGUUUAGCUGAACGAGUGUUGAAUCGGUGUGGCGAUGCUGGAAAUUUGGGGUACAGGUUCUUCGUGUGGGCAUCGAAGCAGCCCGGUCACAGGCACAGCUACGAGGUCUACAAAGCCAUGGUGAAGAUUUUGGGUAAAAUGAAGCAGUUCGGCACAGUUUGGGCUCUUAUGGAAGAAAUGAGGAAGGAGAAUCCUCAGUUCAUAACGCCCGAGUUGUUUGUGGUUUUGAUGAGGAGGUUUGCCUCUGCGAGAAUGGUUAAGAAGGCAAUUGAAGUGUUAGACGAAAUGCCCAAUUACGGCUGCGAGCCCGAUGAGUAUGUUUUUGGGUGCUUGUUGGAUGCCUUGUGCAAGAAUGGAAGUGUAAAGGAGGCCGCUUCUCUUUUUGAGGAUAUGAGGGUAAGAUUUAGUCCAAGCUUGAAGCACUUUACUUCAUUGCUGUAUGGUUGGUGUAGAGAAGGGAAGCUUAUGGAGGCUAAGCAUAUAUUGGUGCAAAUGAGGGAGGCAGGAUUCGAGCCGGAUAUUGUUGUUUAUAACAAUUUGUUAAGUGGUUAUGCAGUUGCAGGCAAAAUGGCUGAUGCAUUUGAUUUGUUGAAGGAGAUGAGGAGGAAAGGCUGUGAGCCAAACGAGAAUUCCUACACAAUUUUGAUUCAGGCUCUUUGUGGGAAGGAAAAAAUGGACGAGGCGAUGCGGGUGUUUGUUGAGAUGGAGAGGAGUGGUUGUCAGGCAGAUAUUGUGACAUACACUAGUUUGAUUAGUGGUUUUUGUAAGUGGGGGAAGAUUGAUAAGGGUUAUGAGAUUUUGGAUAGUAUGAUUCAGAGAGGGCAUAUGCCAAAUCAGAUGACUUAUUUGCAUGUAAUGUUAGCUCAUGAGAAGAGGGAAGAGUUGGAAGAAUGUUUGGAACUGAUGGAGGAAAUGCGAAAGAUUGGUUGUGUUCCUGAUCUUAGCAUUUACAAUGUAGUGAUAAGGUUGACUUGCAAGUUGGGAGAGGUGAAAGAAGGUGUUCGAGUUUGGAAUGAGAUGGAAGCAAGUGGGUUUAGUCCUGGGCUGGAUACCUUUGUUGUUAUGAUUCAUGGGCUUCUUGGUCAAGGAUGCUGGGUUGAAGCUUGUGACUACUUUAAAGAGAUGGCCGGGAGAGGUCUUUUAUCGGCUCCACAAUAUGGUACAUUGAAAGAGUUGCUGAAUUCCCUUUUGAGAGCUGAGAAGCUUGAAAUGGCUAAAGAUGUAUGGAGUUGCAUUUUGAGUACAGGAUGCGACCUUAAUGUGUAUGCCUGGACCAUUUGGAUUCAUGCACUCUUCUCGAAUAGGCAUGUGAAGGAGGCUUGUUCAUAUUGUUUGGAUAUGAUGGAUGCAGAUGUAAUGCCACAGCCGGAUACUUUUGCUAAACUCAUGCGUGGUUUAAAGAAGCUAUAUAAUAGACAGCUUGCUGUAGAGAUUACUGAUAAAGUAAGGAAGAUGGCUGCAGAUAGGCAGAUCACUUUUAAAAUGUAUAAAAGGCGAGGAGAGAGAGACUUGAAAGAGAAAAUUAAGGAGAAAAAGGAUGGGAGGAAGAGGAGGGCUCGUAGACGUCAAUGGGGUGGAGGCCUUGGUAGAGCUAAGAUUUUAUAGUUCUAAUGAACAGUUAUUCAGGAUUUAAGAAUUGAGAUUGUAUGGAUUGCUAUCACCAGGGAUGAUAUGAGGUUCUUAAUUCAUCCAGUAUCUUUGUGCCCUUUAUUGUGCCAGUUUAAUUCAUCAAGCAUCUUUGGAUAUCAAAUGACCACUGGAGAAUAUGUCCUUGGAUAAGUGAGUAGCUAAAGAGAUCCAUCCACCUGAAGGACUCCAAUUUCAACCCUAAAUAUCUGGGAUCAAGGUUUAUUAUGUUGUUGUGGGAAUCAAGUAGUUUCAUUAUUUGUUUGUUUAUUGAAUAUACUUUGCUUGCAGCAAAGUGGACUUCCAGAAGAGUUCCACCCAUAAUAUGAGAUUCAGCAGUCAUUUUGAGUUGAGCAAUCAAUACAUAAUAAGUCUAGCUACUGCUGGUUCAAUAUGUAAGUCUCUUAGAUUUUGUAUGCAAAGUGGAUUUCAUCACUCUUCUGUAUUCUCUUUUUCGCAGUGUAGCCUGAUCUUUCCUGUAGUAUACCUGACUUGUGGUGAUUAACUCUCAUUUUUUGGUGAUCUGUCUCUGUCUCUUCAAUAAUCUCCUCCUAUGUACCAACCAAUUCAAUCAAGACAAAUACUUAGGGUGUCUGAAAUUUUUUUAUAAAAGCAGAUAGAAGUUUUGCUUACUUGUAGCAGUUCUUCAAUGACAUCUUCUAGUCUUAUUAUCCAAUAGCUUCCUCUUCUUCCGUGUGCUGGGGAAUAAAAUUAUCAUUAAUAUACAGAACAUCAGACUGGAAGCCCUUUGGCCAUUUCUUGCUCGUACAGGUUCCUCUAUACAGAUUUGCUUCACUAGGCAAAACCCUUUAACUUCUUGAGGGAUUGGUUCCUAGUUGCACUCAUCUUACGCAGAUGGCUUUCACCAUUAAUUUCCACCCUUAUCUCUUUCCCUUAAUGUAUCCAAUUGUUAAGAAUGAUUCGGAUUUUCAAGCUUGGAAACGACAGAACAUGCGAUGAAACUAGUGAGAUAGUGGCAGUGUUUUCCGUCAGUUGGAUUUCGCAUGCUGGCUGUGUUUUGUAUCUAUAAUGUUUCACAAUGACGACUAUAUGGCUAUGGCCUUUCUGAAAUUCAUUGAGCGUGUCAUAUAAUGGAGAUGUUUCUGGAACUCUGGCAUACAAGCACAUCGAUGCAUUUUUCAAUAUGAAAAAGUCUCGCUGGACAGAUGCUAGAA